CGUGGGUAGUCAGAAAGUGUGUUCAUUAGUUGAGGCGUGGUGGAAAAUGGUUUUGUUGACAUUUCUUCCUGAGGAUUAUUAAAUCCCAUGCUAGUCUUACCAGGGGAAAAAUCAGGACACCAAGGGAAACAUCAGAGUUCUAACAAAUAUUAUUUAAUUUUAAACAUAUCUCAAUUUUCAAGUUAUAAUAGGAUGUCUUGGUAGCCAGGCUGGUGGGAAGCUAAGAGAAGAAAACGGCACACAACAGUUAAGGGUUUACGCUUAUGCACUUACUAUCAGUGCUUUGCUCAAGUUUCCGAGAAAAACUGAGGAAGCUUCUCCACCACCCUCAGAAUGCUGGUUUUACCUUUUCCUUUCUUUUAUGCAAGACUUUUUCCUGGGGUUCUCAACUUCCAACUUAAAAACUAACUGUAGUUAUGUUCUAGGUUUUGUUUAGCUAUUGUAUGGUUUUCCUCUUGUUUCUAUCAAGUUGCUUUUACGUUUACUCUUCCUGGGCUCUGCUGGUUUCUUGAACAACGACUAUCUCUCUGGAUGUCUUGCCUGAGCUUCUGUCGAGCCCAGAUCAAGCCUCAGAGCCAGUGUCAACAAGGAAAACUGGUUCAUAAGCUUUGGAUGUGCUAUCUUCCUCUGCAUGGUCUGCAAGGGGACCAUAAGUCCAGGGCCUCCAGGAUCACCGAGACCAUCUGCAUCACAGCCCUGGAAGCUAAGGACCCAUUCAGUUCCAGAAUGUUCCUUGAAGCUUCUGCUUUCAUCAGAAAUGUUUCUCUUUGAACAUAUGCUGAUUAUUGAAUCUGAGUGAUCCUGACCCUCCCAUUCCCUUGUCUUUUACAGGAUCAUGAGAAUAGGCUGCUGGAAAGAAUGGAAAGGCUUCCUCUUCUGAAACUGUGUGUGUGUGUGAGUCCUAGACAGACCCAGCCUAACUAAAAGUCUUCCUUUAUCUUUUAAAAAAAUAUUCUUAACAGUCAUAUAUAUAUCUAUAUUAUAUAAUAUAUAGGUAACAUUAUUGUCUGUUUCCGUGCCCAGGGUAGUAGCCUUAGUAGUAGUAGUAACAAUUAUAAAAGUAAUUAGCAUUUGUUGUGGGCUGAUGUGCCACACUCAGAGUUGUUCUUCACAUAUAAGACAACAAAUUUUGCUUUUGAAUCCAAAACAAAAUAAAUGCUUUCAAACUUUAACAAUUUAAAUUAUUUUGCUCUAAGCUUGGUCAAAGCUGAAUACGAGAGGCAUUCAUCAUCAGCCUGUCUAUGUUAUAAAAGUGAAGUCAGUUUCUGGCAGGGAGUGAGGAGUGUUGGAGGGUUAUCUCUGACUUGGUCUAAGCGGAAACAUUUCUUAACGAUAUUUUCAGCUUAAGAAGAGAUUUAAGCGAUUUCCUAGUAUCUGAUUUUUUUUUCUGACCUAAUGUAGUGUCAAUACUCUCAUGAUUCCCUAAUUAACUUCACAAAGGCUUGUAUUAUGUGAGCAGACCAACAGAUGUUUCUCAGAAGUGACACCUCCCUCUCCCGUCCUUACAAAGGCGCAUGUGCUGUGUGCCUGUGUGAGGACAGGUUAUAGAGAGAUGCUCACUGCUUGUUACCAGCAGCCAAUUUUGGGAACCUGAAAACACUGAAAACUCUCUAAGAGUACCCAUUAUGCCCACUCCUCCACAGAAGGUGCAACCCGACCAGACAGAUCUGCUUUUCCUAGAAUGCCUCCGCUGCUCCCCUCUUGGUGCCUGAAUGUGGAUCUCAUUGGAGGGGGGUUUCCAAGGCUCCACAAGCAGAAAAGCAGAGGAGCAGUAGAGUGACAGAGCCACAGAAUGGCACAACAGAGAAGGAGAGAAAAGAAGGAGCGUAUGAAUAUCGACAGGAGUUUGGCUGGAGAUGGUUGGAGAGGAGGUUGACCACAGGACAGUCGAACUUCAGGACAUGAUCAUCUUCCUACUCCAUCUUCUCUUCAGCUCCCUAUCCAUCCCACUGAGCGCCACCUCCACCACUCAGUAAAACCCCUGCAGUCACCAACCUUCAAGCCUGUAUGUUACCUGAUUCUUCCUGAACGCCUGACAAGGAUCUGGGUACCAAGAGGACACAGAGCUGGUUCACGCUUAAGCUGUCUGCGGACAGCAGAGCUAAGAGGGUACUGUAACAUGCCCACUGUGGCUUCGGGAGUUACAGGCCUCACUCCUAGAUGCUACUGUGGGGACAGAACCCAAAAGCGCUCACCAGGUUCCUGCACCUGGUGGUCUGUGUGCUCCCCUUCCGGUAAGGGGUUUAAGUCCAUGGCAGUGGAUGAACAGACAAACCACACCCCUGUCACAUGUCCCGCGAGGGGGUCAGAGAACUCUCCCAUUUCAGCAGGAAAAGUCUCCAGGGCCUCUGUUGGGUAUCGAGUUUGUAAAAGUCUGUAUUUAAAAGCCAUUAUCCAGUAAUCCUUGGAGAAAAGGUGUGUUGUGCUUCUCUCUUGAACUUCACUGGCACUGAUGUGGGUUUUUGAAAUUCAAACCCUUUCUCUGGCGACAUAGAUCCAUGCUGAGCUGCUCCUUAUACUCAGGCUGCUGUUGUCUACAGGCAGGCCAGGAGUUCCUAAGGCCUGGGGCAAUCAGGGUGAAUUGGGCUCCCUCCAGUUGAGGACAACUUGUAGUGCAACUUUAGGAAGUAUGUAGCUCACGGGGAUGCAUUUUAAUUGAAAAACAUAUUUUUCCCUCCAAAGAGAACCGAGAAAGCUGCUUUCCUUAAGUCAAAUAAGACUAAGCUACUUUACUUAAGUCAAAGCUACUUUCCUUAAGUCAAAUAAGACUAACUUCUUGACACAGCAAAAUGACAAUUUAUACAUUUUAGGAGCCUCAUCAUGCACAAGAGAAGCCAUGAGUCCCAGCAGCAACAGGAAAAGAAUAAAUUCGGUCAGGUCAGAAGAUGUUGGCAAUUGAACAUGGAAACAAAAGCCUUUUAGCCUGUGUCCCUGAACCCAGGAGCAAGUGCAAAAAGAGAGUGGGUAAAAGCAGCCCUGAGGUUUCAAAGUUAGUUAAUAUCAUUGCAUAAGCUUGGGCAUAUACUAUUUAGGAUUUCUAGGCCAAACACUUGAAAUGUAAAUGUUUUCCACAAACGUAGAUGGAUAAGGAGAAAAGAGAGACACAGGGAGACAGAAGAGUGGAGGUGAGAAGAAAAGGGGAGAGAGGAUGAGAGAGGCAGAGGGGAAAGUGGUGAAAGGAAGGGAGAAAGGGAGACUUAAGGUUCUCAUUUCACCUAAUUCUAGGAAGGCUGGAAAUACUGGCUUCUCUCUACUGGGGCAAAGGAUGGCUUCUUACCUCCUUCAUCUCCAGGGCUCUUUCCUUAGUGUGGCAACUGAAGAAUGAGGAUGACAGGCUCAUAAAUGUGGAGAGGAGAGCUUUGUUUCUCUUAAAGGGUUGCAGCCUGCAAGGUUGUCAUUCUGACAGGCUGGGAGCAUAGCCUCUGGCCAGAAGGGGCAAAGGGAACAGAAAUUAAUGCUGAAUAGGGUGACCAAAUAUACAUAUUUAAUAAGUCAUAGAAGAAGUCAUAAUUUUUUUUUUAACUUUUAGUUUCAGAGUUACAUGGGCAGGUUUGUUACGUAGGUUAAUUGCAUGUCAUGGGGGUUUGGUGUAUAGAAUAUUUUGUUACCCAGGUAAUAAGCAUAGUACUCAAUAGAUAGUUUUUGAAUCCUCCUCCUCCUCCCCACCCUUCACCCUCAAGUAGGCCCCUGUGUCUAUUCCCUUUGUGUUCACACUUAUUCAAAGUUUAGCUCCCACUUAUAAGUGAGAACAUGUAUUUAGCUUUUUUGUUCAUGUGAUAGUUUGCUUAGGAUAAUGACCUUCAGCUCCAUCCAUGUUUCUGAAAAAGACAUGAUCUCAUAUACACAAUGGAAUACUAUGCAGCCAUAAAAAAGAGUCAUGAAUAUUUUUGAGAGGAGGAAUGCACAGGCAGUUGCAUUUUUACCCUUUCACAGACAGCUUCCAUGUACAAAAAAUGCUAAAUCAGAGGGUGGAAUUUUUGGCCCUCUGACAUCAAAAGGUGAAGCAGAACAUGCAAAAACCCUCACUGUGCAUUCUCUGUAGUCUGGUCAGAACCACUCCAUGGCUGGUGGUGUCAAAUCAGGUAAAAGAGUAGGGGAAGCAUCAGGAGACUGGAUGAUGUCAGCGGUGGAAUCUUCUUAAAGGGCUGGUGUCUGUUUAGCCCUUAAGGAAGAAAAGCUAAUGGUGGUUAGCGAGGGAGGAGGCAUGAGGAGGCCUGUCUGAGCUCAGUUCAUGGAGGAGAACUCAGUUUUCAAGGUUACUCUGGGGUCCCACUGGCCAAAAGAUGGUCCGUUCAGUUGGUUAGGAGGUUUCGAAUUAAUUUUACUUCUCAAGUUUUAUCCUCAGGCUACUUGAAGAGGUUCACUAUGCCCCAAGCCCACCAUGGCAUUUACAGGGGGUCCUGGUGCGCUGCUUUGCCCAGCUUUUCACCUCUACCAGCGUCCUGCUGGCCAGCAUACCCUUUCAGCUCCAUUGAUUCCUUUGUCCCAUUUUCUUCACUUCCAGCCUAGGGUUACGGAUUGCUUUUUUCUUUUUUUUCUUAUUCUUUUUUUUUUCUUCAUUUAUCCUUGACUUGAAACACAUGCUUUUUGUUUUUAAAUCUUUUAAACAGUGAAAGUCUGGCACGAUGCUCAAAAAUCUUCACUUGAUAUUGAACUAAGCCUUUACCUGACACCUUGUGUUUCAAUUAUCUAUUGACUUUCUCUUCUCCUCCACUUCACUGAGCAUAAUUUGAGAGCAGUAGCUAGGCUGUUUUACUAACCUGAGUGUGUCCAAUUCCUAGCAUAGUUCCUGGUAGUCAGGAAAUGUUCAACACGUGCUGUUGUAUAAGAGAUUGAAGGUUUUAUUGUGUGUUCUUGAUCCUGAAGUACACAUUGGCUUACAUUUUAAUAUAUCUGAUAUAAAGGUACGCUUUACAAUUGAUGUAUGCCUUUUUCAUCAUCUUUUUUUUGAAAAGCUAUUAAUGCACUGGUUUCACCUUAAAAUCAAAUUACAACAAUAACACUUGUGUAGAUACAGGGUUCUCUGAGAAAAUUUGAGUGUCUUAUAAAUUAUGAAAAUGUUCCAGAAAAUUUGCACUGGUCUGAACACAUAACAGAUUUAUAUUAAUGAUCAUGGAAUUAUUACCUAUUCUGACUUUUUAGAAAAAACACCAGAACUCACUUCCACCUGGGACAAAUUUCUACAAUAAUUUGGCACUUAUCUAACUGACAUAACUGGGUUUUUUGUUGAUAUAAAUAAUGGAGUGAAUAACAUAACUAUUACGCA
rnacentral:lncRNA from 10 species